rnacentral:snoRNA from 2 species
AAUUCAGACUACUCCUCGAUCCUUCGCAGAAUGAUUAUCUAUCUCUGGGCAAGCGUGGCUAUGAGCUUACUUAUGAGAUAUGACUCC